AGCAGCCGCGGUAAUUCCAGCUCCAAUAGCGUAUAUUAAAGUUGUUGCAGUUAAAAAGCUCGUAGUUGAAUUUCGGGGUCAGUAGGCUGGUCGUGCCACAGGUACGUACUGGUCUCACUGAUUCCUCCUUCCUGAUGAACCGUAAUGCCAUUAAUUUGGUGUUGCGGGGAAACUGGACUGUUACUUUGAAAAAAUUAGAGUGUUUAAAGCAGGCUAACGCUUGAAUACAUUAGCAUGGAAUAAUGAAAUAGGACGUUCGAUCCUAUUUUGUUGGUUUCUAGGAUUGACGUAAUGAUUAAUAGGGAUAGUUGGGGGCAUUAGUAUUCAAUUGUCAGAGGUGAAAUUCUUGGAUUUAUUGAAGACUAACUACUGCGAAAGCAUUUGCCAAGGAUGUUUUCAUUAAUCAAGAACGAAAGUUAGGGGAUCGAAGACGAUCAGAUACCGUCGUAGUCUUAACCAUAAACUAUAGCCGACUAGGGAUCGGAUGAUGUUAAUUUUAAUGACUCAUUCGGCGCCUUAC
rnacentral:rRNA from 1 species